GACGAACCGUGCAAACGUUACUCGGAUUCACUGGGCUUAAAGGGCGCGUAGGCGGCUCGCCAAGUCUGGGGUGAAAUCUUUCGGCUCAACCGGAAAAUUGCCUGGGAUACUGGCGGGCUCGAGGGAGGUAGGGGUCACGGGAACGACCAGUGGAGCGGUGAAAUGCGUUGAUAUUGGUCGGAACGCCGGUGGCGAAAGCGCGUGACUGGAUCUCUUCUGACGCUGAGGCGCGAAAGCCAGGGGAGCAAACGGG
rnacentral:rRNA from 1 species